CACUUCCAAAAUUCGUUCAGCUCCUUCUGCCUCCGUCCCCCUCCCCAAAUGGCAGUGUCACACUCUUUUGGGCUACAGCUUGGGGAUUCUGGGGUUUGUUGUUUCGAAAAAAAGGAAACGUUCCUGCACUCUUGUUAAAGGUCAAUGAAAUGGGCUAGAAAGAACCUUAGAAGGCGGGAAGGAGUUCCCAGAGGGGGGGUGGAAAGUCUGCGGGCAAAAAAGCAACACAAAAAUUGUGACGCUGGUGACUUCGCAAAGAUCUGUCCUCUGAAGAUGCUGGCCACAGAGACUGGCGAAACGUUAGGAAGAACAACCUUCAGAACACAGCCAAAGAGCCCGAAAAACCCACACCAACCAUCAUCAUAACUACUCCCGAGUAGGAUCACUGCCAGAGGUAAAAAAGCACAGGUUUCAGAAAGCACCUUCCCAUUUGAGAAGCCCCAGGACAAACGCUGGUUUCUCUGAAAGUGGAGGGUCAUCCCUCGUGGCAGACGCCGGCUUUUGACAUCACACUGGGAAGUUCAGUCCCUGUGCCUCUUUCCACCACCUUGUCUGGAGACAGCCAGGUGAGUCUCCUUGCAACUGCCGGAGAGGAGAUGCAACCAGGAAGUGCCUGCCGCCCCACCUGGGCAAGAGAGCAAACAAGCCGCCAGCCAGCCAGUCAGCCGCCCACGCUUCACCUCUCCAGCCUCCACGCCUGUUCUGGGGAGCUUCCUCACUAAAAACUGUGGCCUCCACAGCGGGGGACCCCUGGCCUUGCCCGGCAGACGAGACACUCAGACGGAGGAUGGCUCCUCCACCACCCCGAAGAGCGGAGCCUGUAGCCUCAGAAGCCCCGGAGAACCCGUCGGCCCUCCUCUUGGGGAGUUUGGCGUCCGUGGCCCCUGUCAUCCUGACGAUCCUUCUGCUGCUUCUCUGCUUCCACUUUAAAAGCAAAAAGCGGCAGUUCUCAACCGGAGAUCCCACGAGGGACCGAAACACCUCCGUGCUGCUUCGCAUGAUUGGAGGACAAAACGAGCCGAAUGCAGGAGCAACGCAUCUGGAGAAUGGAGGACUCUGCCAAGGAGUCCACACGGACAAGGCCAGAACAUUCCAGAGUGAAGUGAAACUGGAGACGCCGGGGAUAUGUUUGCACGUUCCUGUUUUCGAGGACUUUAUGCUCUCCUGGCAUUAUUUGCAAAUAAAGCAGCCACUGGAGAAAGGCGUGAAGUCUCCAGUUCCUGGCAAAAACUAAGCCCUGCAGUUUUGUGCUGGGAACAUUUUACUGCUCUGAGUUGGGAAGGGAAUGUGUCACAUGAGC
rnacentral:lncRNA from 1 species